UCUCUCUCUCUCUUCCUCUCUUAGUUGCAAAAAAAAAAUGCUCUGCAGCUGGGCUGCACCUCAAUGAACCUAAUUGGUGCACUGUGAGCGACCAUCAUCUAUCCACUGGAUUUCCAUCGUGGCCGGCUUCCAUCCAGAACAUAUGAAUUUGCUUAGACAGACCCUUUUAAGGAGUUGAACAGAUAGGUCGGAGAAAAUGGCACAACGCGUGGUUUUGUUUCUACUGUGGCUCUUUGACAGAUCAUCCGCAGGAUUUCCCAAUCAGAUCAAUAUCGGGGGGCUGUUCAUGCGUUCCACGGUGCAGGAGCACAGCGCGUUCAGGUUCGCUGUCCAACUCUACAACACCAACCAAAACACCACUGAAAAGCCUUUCCACCUCAACUACAAUGUCGACAACCUCGAGUCGUCCAACAGCUUUUCAGUCACCCAUGCGUUUUGCUCCCAGUUCUCCCGCGGCGUGUACGCCAUCUUUGGAUUCUACGACAAGAAGUCCAUGAACACCUUGACCUCGUUCUGCGGCGCCCUGCACACCUCCUUUGUCACACCCAGUUACCCCACCGAUAAUGAGGUGCAGUUUGUCAUCCAGAUGCGCCCCGCCCUCCGGGGUGCUGUCCUCAGCCUGCUCUCUCACUACAAGUGGCAGAAGUUUGUCUACCUCUACGACACUGACCGAGGUUUCUCUAUACUGCAGGCCAUCAUGGAGGCAGCAGUAGCCAACAACUGGCAGGUGACCGCCCGCUCUGUUAGCAGCACAACCGAUGCAGCAGAGUUCAAGCGCAUCAUUGAGGAGAUGGACAGGAGGCAGGAGAAGCGCUUUGUGAUUGACUGCGAGGUGGACAGGAUCAACACCAUAUUAGAACAGGUUGUGAUCCUGGGGAAGAACAGCCGUGGUUACCACUACAUCCUGGCCAAUCUUGGAUUUACUAACGUGAGCUUGGACAAAGUCUUCGCCGGUGGAGCCAACAUUUCAGGGUUUCAGAUAGUCAACCCUGAGAACCCAAUUGUGCAGCAGUUUAUGCAGCGCUGGGAGCGGCUAGAUGAAAGAGAAUUCCCAGAAGCCCGAAACACUCCUCUGAAGUACACUUCAGCUCUGACCCAUGAUGCCAUUCUGGUGAUCGCAGAGGCCUUCAGGUACCUGCGACGCCAACGUGUGGACGUCUCUCGUCGGGGCAGCGCUGGAGACUGCCUAGCCAAUCCCGCUGUACCUUGGAGCCAAGGCAUUGACAUCGAGAGAGCUCUUAAAACGGUUCAAGUGAACGGUAUGACUGGGAACAUCCAGUUUGACAACUACGGACGCAGAACAAACUACACCAUUGAUGUUUAUGAGAUGAAAACAGGUGGGCCGAGUAAGAUUGGGUACUGGAACGAGUACGCACGAUUUGUAAAUAUUAUGGACCCGCAGGUCUCCAACGACUCCUCAGUGGAAAAUCGAACGAUUGUGGUCACUACUAUUAUGGAAGCGCCUUAUGUGAUGUACAAGAAAAAUUAUAUGCAUCUGGAUGGGAAUGACAGAUAUGAAGGCUACUGCGUCGAUUUAGCAUCUGAGAUUGCCAAACAUGUUGGAAUUAAGUACAAACUGUCUAUAGUAAUGGAUGGGAAGUACGGAGCCCGAGACCCCGAGACCAAGACGUGGAACGGGAUGGUGGGUGAACUGGUCUAUGGGAGAGCAGAUAUAGCUGUUGCACCUCUUACCAUUACUCUGGUUCGAGAAGAGGUGAUAGACUUUUCCAAGCCCUUUAUGAGCUUGGGCAUCUCCAUUAUGAUAAAGAAGCCACAAAAGUCAAAGCCUGGCGUUUUCUCCUUCCUGGACCCGCUGGCCUAUGAGAUCUGGAUGUGUAUAGUGUUUGCCUAUAUUGGGGUGAGCGUGGUCCUGUUCCUGGUCAGUCGGUUCAGUCCUUAUGAGUGGAACCUGGAUGAACAGGACGAGACCAAAGACCCCCAGACGCCCCCCGAUCCUCCUAACGACUUUGGCAUCUUCAAUUCUCUCUGGUUCUCACUGGGCGCCUUCAUGCAGCAGGGCUGUGACAUCUCCCCCAGGUCUCUGUCGGGCCGCAUCGUCGGCGGUGUGUGGUGGUUCUUCACCCUCAUCAUCAUCUCCUCCUACACAGCCAACCUGGCUGCCUUCUUGACAGUGGAGAGGAUGGUCUCUCCUAUAGAAAGUGCCGAAGAUUUAGCCAAGCAGACAGAGAUAGCAUAUGGCACUCUGGACUCAGGCUCCACAAAGGAGUUUUUUAGGCGAUCCAAAAUAGCAGUAUAUGAGAAGAUGUGGUCAUACAUGAAAUCCGCUGAACCCUCAGUGUUUGUUAAGACCACACCCGAUGGCGUAGCCCGGGUACGAAAGUCAAAGGGCAAGUUUGCCUUUCUCCUCGAGUCCACCAUGAACGAGUACAUCGAGCAGCGGAAGCCCUGCGACACCAUGAAAGUGGGCGGGAACCUCGAUUCAAAAGGAUACGGUGUGGCGACGCCCAAAGGCUCAGCAUUAAGAAAUGCUGUUAACCUGGCAGUUUUAAAACUGAAUGAGCAAGGCCUCUUGGACAAAUUGAAAAACAAAUGGUGGUACGACAAGGGAGAGUGCGGCAGCGGGGGAGGUGACUCCAAGAACUCCUGUAAACCUUGCAGUAUUGAAACUCAGUGAACAAGGCAUCUUAGACAAGCUGAAAAACAAAUGGUGGUACGAUAAGGGUGAAUGUGGAACCAAGGACUCUGGAAGUAAGGACAAGACAAGUGCUCUCAGCCUAAGCAAUGUGGCUGGUGUCUUCUAUAUUCUGGUUGGAGGGCUGGGGCUGGCCAUGAUGGUGGCUCUGAUAGAGUUCUGUUAUAAAUCACGGCAAGAAACCAAACGGCUGAAAUUGGCCAAGAAUGCCCAGAAUUUUAAGCCGGCUCCCCCGACCAACACCCAGAACUUUGCCACAUACAGAGAAGGCUACAACGUAUACGGAACCGAGAGCGUAAAGAUCUAG